AAAGUUUUAGUAUAAAUUAAAGUAUAAUUUAUUGUCAAUAAAUAGGUUAUAAACUUUAU
rnacentral:tRNA from 1 species